rnacentral:ncRNA from 1 species
CUGGUUCCGGUUCACGUCACGAGCGCCAUCGGCGCAACGACGACCCGGCGACC